AUACGUAGGUGGCAAGCGUUGUCCGGAUUUAUUGGGCGUAAAGCGAGCGCAGGCGGUUUCUUAGGUCUGAUGCGAAAGCCUUCGGCUUAACCGGAGAAGUGCAUCGGAAACCAGGAGACUUGAGUGCAGAAGAGGACAGUGGAACUCCAUGUGUAGCGGUGAAAUGCGUAGAUAUAUGGAAGAACACCAGUGGCGAAGGCGGCUGUCUGGUCUGUAACUGACGCUGAGGCUCGAAAGAAUGGGUAGCGAACAGGAUUAGAUACCCUGGUAGUCCAUGCCGUAAACGAUGAAUGCUAGGUAUUGGAGGGUUUCCGCCCUUCAGUGCCGCAGCUAACGCAUUAAGCAUUCCGCCUGGGGAGUACGACCGCAAGGUUGAA
rnacentral:rRNA from 1 species